rnacentral:rRNA from 1 species
UACGUAGGUGGCAAGCGUUAUCCGGAAUUAUUGGGCGUAAAGCGCUCGCAGGCGGUUUCUUAAGUCUGAUGUGAAAGCCCACGGCUCAACCGUGGAGGGUCAUUGGAAACUGGGAGACUUGAGUGCAGAAGAGGAGAGUGGAAUUCCACGUGUAGCGGUGAAAUGCGUAGAGAUGUGGAGGAACACCAGUGGCGAAGGCGACUUUCUGGCCUGUAACUGACACUGAGGCGCGAAAGCGUGGGGAGCAAACAGG